rnacentral:rRNA from 1 species
GCUUACGGCCAUACCACCCUGAACACGAUCUCGUCCGAUCUCGGAAGCUAAGCAGGGUCGGGCCUGGUUAGUACUUGGAUGGGAGACCGCCUGGGAAUACCAGGUGCUGUAAGCU